rnacentral:rRNA from 1 species
AAGGUGCAGAAUGGAGCACCUGGCGUACGGCUCAGUAACACGUAGUGAACCUGCCCUGAGGACGGGGACAACCGCGGGAAACUGCGGCUAAUACCCGAUAAGAAACUUGGCCUGGAACGGUAUUUUUCUUAAAACCGGCUCGCCGUGAGAUACGGGCCUUAGGAUGGCGCUGCGGCUGAUUAUGCUUGAUGGUGGUGUAAUGGACCACCAUGGCGUCGAUCAGUAUGGGCGAUGGAAGUCGGAGCCCAAAAUCGGCCACUGAGACAAGGGGCCGAGCCUUACGAGGCUUAACGGUCGCGAAACCUCGCCAAUGCACGAAAGUGUGAGUGGGCUACUCCAAGUGUCAUUCUUACGGAUGACUGUCGCUCAGUAUUACAAGCUGAGAAAGGAAGGAGAGGGCAAGGCUGGUGCCAGCCGCCGCGGUAAAACCAGCUCUUCGAGUGGUCAGGACGAAUAUUGGGUCUAAAGCGCUCGUAGCCGGGCAAGUAGGUUCCUGGCUAAAUCCGACAGCUUAACUGUUGGGCUGCUGGGAAUACCGCUAGCCUUGGAAGCGGGAGAGGACAGAGGUAGUCAUGGGGCAGGGGUGAAAUCCAGUGAUCCCAUGGCGACCACCGAUGGCGAAG